rnacentral:rRNA from 1 species
AUUGAACGCUGGCGGCAUGCCUUACACAUGCAAGUCGAGCGGCAGCGCGGGGGCAACCCUGGCGGCGAGCGGCGAACGGGUGAGUAAUACAUCGGAACGUGUCCAGUAGCGGGGGAUAACCUGUCGAAAGAUAGGCUAAUACCGCAUACGACCUACGGGUGAAAGCGGGGGACCGCAAGGCCUCGCACUAUUGGAGCGGCCGAUGUCGGAUUAGCUAGUUGGCGGGGUAACGGCCCACCAAGGCGACGAUCCGUAGCUGGUCUGAGAGGACGAACAGCCACACUGGAACUGAGACACGGUCCAGACUCCUACGGGAGGCAGCAGUGGGGAAUUUUGGACAAUGGGCGCAAGCCUGAUCCAGCCAUGCCGCGUGAGUGAAGAAGGCCUUCGGGUUGUAAAGCUCUUUCGGCGGGGACGAAACGGUCCGUGCCAACACCACGGACUAAUGACAGUACUCGCAGAAGAAGCACCGGCUAACUACGUGCCAGCCGCCGCGGUAA